rnacentral:RNase_P_RNA from 1 species
GUCAGUUGGCUUGUCGCUUGUAUUAAUUAAUAUAAGAGGAAAGUCCGGGCAACGCAGAGCAUCCUACUUCCUAACAGAAAGCUGUUCGCGAGGAUAGAGCAAUGCAGAAGAAAAUAACCGCCUUUUCUUACCGAAAAGGUAAGGGUGAGAAGGUAGGGUAAGAGCCUACCAGCCGUAUAGUGAUAUGCGGGCUGUGCAUCUUAGGAGUUGUAAGGUCAUGUAAACCGGCAUAAAUGAGGGUUGCUCGCCCCACGUCGGAGGGUAGACCGCUAAAGCCUUUUGGUGACAAAAGGCGUAGAUAAAUGACAGGCGCUUUAUAAUAUUAUGUUAUAAAGAACAGAACCCGGCUUAUAGACUGACUGUU